ACUCAAAUGAAUUGACGGGGGCCCGCACAAGCAGUGGAGCAUGUGGUUUAAUUCGAAGCAACGCGAAGAACCUUACCAAGACUUGACAUCCCGCUGAUCGCUCGAGAGAUCGAGUUUCCCUUCGGGGCAGCGGUGACAGGUGGUGCAUGGUUGUCGUCAGCUCGUGUCGUGAGAUGUUGGGUUAAGUCCCGCAACGAGCGCAACCCUUACAUUGUGUUGCUACCAUUUAGUUGAGCACUCACAAUGGACUGCCGGUGACAAACCGGAGGAAGGCGGGGAUGACGUCAAAUCAUCAUGCCCCUUAUGUCUUGGGCUACACACGUGCUACAAUGGGCGGUACAGAGAGAAGCAAGACCGCGAGGUGGAGCCAAUCUCAAAAAGCCGUUCGUAGUUCGGAUUGCAGGCUGCAACUCGCCUGCAUGAAGCCGGAAUUGCUAGUAAUCGCGGAUCAGCAUGCCGCGGUGAAUUCGUUCCCGGGCCUUGUACACACCGCCCGU
rnacentral:rRNA from 1 species